GAUGAACGCUAGCGACAGGCUUAACACAUGCAAGUCGAGGGGCAGCGAGAAAGUGCUUGCACUUUUGUCGACGACCGGCGCACGGGUGAGUAACACGUAUGCAACCUGCCCUUGUCAGGGGGAUAAGCGGGGGAAACCCCGUCUAAUACCGCAUAUAUGAUUGGGAGGCAUCUUUAAAUCAGGAAAGAAUUAUCGGACAAGGAUGGGCAUGCGGGACAUUAGGUAGGUGGGGGUGUAACGGACCACCAAGCCGACGAUGUCUAGGGGGUUCGGAGAGGAAGGUCCCCCACACUGGUACUGAGACACGGACCAGACUCCUACGGGAGGCAGCAGUGAGGAAUAUUGGUCAAUGGGCGAGAGCCUGAACCAGCCAAGUCGCGUGAGGGAAGACGGUACUAAGUAUUGUAAACCUCUUUUGUCAGGGAACAAAGAGACCACGAGUGGUAAGAUGAGUGUACCUGAAGAAAAAGCAUCGGCUAACUCCGUGCCAGCCGCCGCAGUAACAC
rnacentral:rRNA from 1 species